GCCUAGCUGGCUCAAUCAGUAAAGCAUAUGACUCUUGAUCUUGGGGUUGUGAGUUCAAGCCCCAUGUUGGGUG
rnacentral:tRNA from 1 species